AUGGAUUGUAAUGGGAGCUGAUGCUGUGUGGCCAAAUUUUCUUUGACUACAAUGUGCUCGCUUCUAGCAACAUUUUUUCUAAACACCUGUGCACCUUGUGGGGGGGAAUUAUCUUUUCCCCCUUCUCUCACAAACAUUUUUCAAUGUUGAAUGUUCAUUGUGCCUAAUGCAUGGCCUUAAUAAAAUAUAAUA
rnacentral:misc_RNA from 1 species